CUCCUACGGGAGGCAGCAGUAGGGAAUCUUCCGCAAUGGACGAAAGUCUGACGGAGCAACGCCGCGUGAGUGAUGAAGGCUUUCGGGUCGUAAAACUCUGUUGUUAGGGAAGAACAAGUGCUAGUUGAAUAAGCUGGCACCUUGACGGUACCUAACCCAGAAAGCCACGGCUAACUACGUGCCAGCAGCCGCGGUAAUACGUAGGUGGCAAGCGUUAUCCGGAAUUAUUGGGCGUAAAGCGCGCGCAGGUGGUUUCUUAAGUCUGAUGUGAAAGCCCACGGCUCAACCGUGGAGGGUCAUUGGAAACUGGGAGACUUGAGUGCAGAAGAGGAAAGUGGAAUUCCAUGUGUAGCGGUGAAAUGCGUAGAGAUAUGGAGGAACACCAGUGGCGAAGGCGACUUUCUGGUCUGUAACUGACACUGAGGCGCGAAAGCGUGGGGAGCAAACAGGAUUAGAUACCCUGGUAGUCCACGCCGUAAACGAUGUCGACUUGGAGGUUGUGCCCUUGAGGCGUGGCUUCCGGAGCUAACGCGUUAAGUCGACCGCCUGGGGAGUACGGCCGCAAGGUUAAAACUCAAAUGAAUUGACGGGGGCCCGCACAAGCGGUGGAGCAUGUGGUUUAAUUCGAUGCAACGCGAAGAACCUUACCUACUCUUGACAUCCAGAGAAGUUUGCAGAGAUGCGAAUGUGCCUUCGGGAACUCUGAGACAGGUGCUGCAUGGCUGUCGUCAGCUCGUGUUGUGAAAUGUUGGGUUAAGUCCCGCAACGAGCGCAACCCUUAUCCUUUGUUGCCAGCGGUUAGGCCGGGAGCUCAAAGGAGACUGCCAGUGAUAAACUGGAGGAAGGUGGGGAUGACGUCAAGUCAUCAUGGCCCUUACGAGUAGGGCUACACACGUGCUACAAUGGCGCAUACAAAGAGAAGCGACCUCGCGAGAGCAAGCGGACCUCAUAAAGUGCGUCGUAGUCCGGAUUGGAGUCUGCAACUCGACUCCAUGAAGUCGGAAUCGCUAGUAAUCGUAGAUCAGAAUGCUACGGUGAAUACGUUCCCGGGCCUUGUACACACCGCCCGU
rnacentral:rRNA from 1 species